rnacentral:rRNA from 1 species
AUUGAACGCUGGCGGAAUGCUUUACACAUGCAAGUCGAACGGCAGCACGGGGGCAGCCCUGGUGGCGAGUGGCGAACGGGUGAGUAAUACAUCGGAACGUGCCCGGUCGUGGGGGAUAACGUAGCGAAAGUUACGCUAAUACCGCAUACGAUCUGAGGAUGAAAGCGGGGGACCUUCGGUCCUCGCGCGAUCGGAGCGGCCGAUGUCAGAUUAGGUAGUUGGUGGGGUAAAGGCCUACCAAGCCGACGAUCUGUAGCUGGUCUGAGAGGACGACCAGCCACACUGGGACUGAGACACGGCCCAGACUCCUACGGGAGGCAGCAGUGGGGAAUUUUGGACAAUGGGCGCAAGCCUGAUCCAGCCAUUCCGCGUGCAGGACGAAGGCCUUCGGGUUGUAAACUGCUUUUGUACGGAACGAAAAGGCUCUGGCUAAUACCUGGGGCUCAUGACGGUACCGUAAGAAUAAGCACCGGCUAACUACGUG